rnacentral:tRNA from 1 species
CGUGAUGUCUGAGUAAUUUUUAUUCUUAGGCCAUGAUCCUGUCACCUUAGGUCGAUCGGUACCUCAGAUUGCUUUCUAAGUUAUUGGGAAGUUGAUUUCAGUUCCUAAACUUGUCUAGGUCACACCCAGCAAGGGUUCUCCUGGGCCAUUAGCUCAGGUGGUUAGAGCGCACCCCUGAUAAGGGUGAGGUCCCUGGUUCAAGUCCAGGAUGGCCCAUUCGGUGUUGGGGGUAUAGCUCAGUUGGUAGAGCGCCUGCUUUGCAAGCAGGAUGUCAGCGGUUCGAGUCCGCUUACCUCCACUGACUUUAUUACCUGACAACAUAAGCUUAAAGGAGAAAUAACUUUGCUAUAUGUGAUUUAGACAUAGUUUCCUGAAUGAACCUAGCUUCCUAUCAUUCUUUUUCUAAAAAACUAAUUUAGAUAGAGUUGAUAAGACGCUGGGCUCACUGGAAUCCUAAGGAUUUCAGAGACGUUCGGUAGAACCUUGACAACUGCAUAGAUAAAAGUCUGGAAAGAAUAAAGCAUCUCAUGGAUGCAUGAUUCUUCUAGACAUCUAAGAAAAUUUUAAUGUUAACCUCAUUAAAAUUAUCAUCUUAAAUAGAAGAGGAAUGAAUGUUGAAUUCUUGAGUAAGAGCCGAAGACUCCUAUAAGA